GCCUUUUGCUUCUGCAUCACUGGAGCCCAAGAGAAGUGCCACAAGCGGAAAUGACAACGCGAGCGGGGGAUAUUAAUAGGGAUAUCUACGUACGAGAAGCAGGGAGGACGCUCUCCACCUCCUUAUCUCCUCAUCCCUGAGUGUCACACACGUACGCACACCAGCACCGCCGCCACCAUCGCCGCCCUCUCCCUCCCGUGAAGCACGCACAACCCCGGCAUGCAAGGUGACCAUCAUCCCAGAACUCAUCAUGGAGAUAACCCAUCACAGCCCAGUCAUUCCAGAUAACACCCUCUUCCUGUGUGGUCACCAGACUUAGAUCCAACUUCCAGGCCUACCACUCACGAGGAAAGGAUCAGAUUCGGUUCUCCUCUCAGUCUCUACCUUUAUCGAACCAAUUCACCCUGAAGCCUGUUGAAGACAGGAUAAGAAGCUCGUCAUUGUUCCAGCCAAACCAGAAACCUGAAAAUGCCAGAGCCCCGCUGAUGUGGCCCAUGCUGGUCAGCCUUCCAGGGCAGAGGGCAGAGAACAGAGCUGGGAAGG